rnacentral:lncRNA from 1 species
CCGUCAAAUUUCUCAAUCUCACAUCUCAUAGCCGACAUGCUUACUUGUGCUUAUAACAGUGAACCCAAUAAUUAAUGAAGUAAACCGAUUCGGCAAUACCCAGGAAAGAUCACAAUGAUCUCCUAGACAAUAUUACCAUUCCACGUAAAAUCUCAGUUGGACGAAGGGGUCACAAGUGGUCCCACUUAAAAUCCGGCCUUCUAGACAGAAGUUACGUGCACGGUAUAUUAUCAGAAUAGAAUAACUUCAAUAAUUAUCGUCAGGACAUUCACCACCGAUACUCAAGCACACCAAAGCAAAGCUCCA